CUCCAAAACUCUACAGGAAAGAAGCUGCCCAGAACUGCAGAAUAACGUACUACCAAUUUCAGCACACUCUUUCCUUGCUAUGUCAGGUGCACUCCUGAGCACUCUAAUGAGGAUAGCAUCAGUCUUCAGAAAAAUGAUACUCGAAAGGGAACAUUCCAACAGUGCAUUCACAUGGAGAAGUUUUGGCUCUGGAAAACUACCAGUAUUCCUUCAACUUUAUUAUUGAGGAAGCCAACAUAAAUCAACAC